CUUUGUAGUGGCAAGGUUGCAUAUAUGAUGAAGAUCGUGUGGGGUUACUGACAAGCCUUGCUUGCAGUCAGCGGAGGGCUGUGCUUUGCUAGUUGGCCUGGUGCCUCACGCAGGAGGAAGGCCGUGGCAGCAGAGUGUCAGUGCAUGGUGUAGGUGCCCAGCAGUGUGUGCCACUGGCUUCAGGCCCAUUGCAUGAAGUCAGCCAAUUCUCUACCAUCCUCACUGGGAACUUGUAAAGCGACUGCAAUGUUUUCCAUACUUUGUAGUACCCAGCUUCAGAGUUUGUCAGGACCAAAGCAGCUGUGCGAAUGUGUCGUCGUCCCUGAUUAGGCACUUCUGAUGUCGGAAGCGCGUUCAGACUCCUAAGCUGAAGAAAGUCAGGGAAUUUUGCAUCAUUGUGUCAGCGAGAUCCUGCACUUCAUCAUCUGUCCAAGAAGAGGACAGCAAAGCUGAGCAAGGUCAGAGAACUGAGCCAUCCAAGGAAGGUCCUUGCAGGUCAGUGGAGACACAGAUGAAGCUGGACCAACAAGCAAGGCAGUCACUCUGUAUGUUCAUGCUGAAGAAGACCCAGGAAGGUGCAAGUCAUUGCAUGGUGUAAGUCAUUCGUGUUUCAGAUCACCAUUAGCCAUGUCUGUAUUGGCCUAGUAAAAAAGAAUAAAUUCUAGGAUUUGCUAGACAAAUUCUUUCUUUCAAAUUCUGUCAUUUCAUUCUGUUUUAUCCUUGCAAAAUUGUCAGCUUAGAGCUUAUAAAUGAAUAUGUAUAAGUGAAUAGGAUGCCAGGACAAAAAGCUGAGGCAGCCAAUGGAGAUUUUAGAGAAACAGGAAUGUGAGGACAGUAGUGUUCAUUUUCCACCCCUAGGAAAACACAAAUAUAUUAUUCUAUGGGUUGUAAAGGUUGAAUAAUGCCACUUUCCCUCUCCGAAGUGUUCAGGAAACGAGCCUGUGGAAGUCAAUGGAUGUUUUGCCACUGCCUUCCUUGAUUGGGCCCCAGAUAAAUCGUGAUUCAUGGAGCCACUUAAAUGGUAAAUGUGAAAAAUGAAAAUGACCUAUCCAUUAACUUAAUCAUCAUUCCAUCCCUUCUCUAAGGCAAAUAAAGUGUUAGAUGGAGGCAGAUGUUGUUGUAAUUGAGGUCUUUUUUCUUAUUUGAAGAGACCAGUUUCUAAAGGUCAUUGAUGGAACUUGAUGGAAAUAAGCCUUUAAAGUGUGAAUAUUGAUGGCUGAAUAAAGUGAGUCUUCCAGGAGGAAGACUGCAAAAAACCAUAGCUAUUUUUUAAAAAAUUAUGGGUCAAAUUCUUCUUCCACUCAGGGCACUGUAAAUCUGAAGUCAUCUGAAGAAAUCAUUGACUUCUGUGUAAAUGAGGGCACAGCCUUCUUCAGCAGAAUGAACUUAAGGUUUUUAUUCUCAUAGAGGAGAACAGAACAAAAUUUACUGUGAUUUUGUCACAGCCCUAACGGAAGGGGGGGGGGUGAUUAUGACUGUCAGACAUCCUUAAGGAAGUUCCUUUAUUCUCCCCUUGGAUGUGCCUUGCUUCCCCAGCACAGCUGCAGUUCAGAAGCAGCUUUAGACACUAUCUUUAAUGUCCUUCUAGAAAAACAAUUAGGCAGAACUGAGCUUCCAUUUUAAAUUUGAGGAGAGACUGUAUCCUCAAAGGUAUUGAAGAAUACAGAUCCCAAAAUGGGUAUAUUGUCUGUCAUUCCAGUACGUUUUUGUAAAAGAGAGAUUCUACCACAGAAAUAAUAGUAAUCUGUAGCUAUUAUGCAUUUAUUUUGUAGUAUUUUGUUGCUUCUAUUAGACAUCUAUAAUAUUUUGAUAUAUUUUAUAUGCACGUCAUUGAUAAGUAUUUAUGUAAAUAACAUGUAGAUUUUAAAAGAUAAUAACAGUAUCUUAGCAAAAUCUACAGAUUUGUAGAACAGAUCUUUAUGGCUGCUAGAAACUUUGGAUGGAUGUCAUUUUUAAUGCUGUUCUGACACAGUCUUAACUGUCAUAGCACAAACAGCCCCACUAAAAUUCAUCUUCUUUGGACAGCUGCUCUAGUGUGAUACCUAGCAGAUAAAAGAAAUCAAGGAGAAGAUGCAGGAUAGCCUGGAAUACAGGAAUGAGACAUAAAACAUCACAAGUAACAGUUUCUCUUUCAGCCAAAAAAUAAGAGGGGGAGGUCAAACAAGUUCAUCCUUCUGAGAAUAACACAUAGCUCAACGAGGCAGCCCCUCUCCAGGCAAAUGGAAGAUAAACCUACCGAUAUCCGAGGAAAAAAAGAAUGGAUCGAUGAUGAGAAUUAUGCUGCAUGAUAGCAAGUGCCAUGGAAAUGGAGAGCAGAGCAAUAGAGAUGUUUUGAGUGGGAAAAACAGGGGGAAGCUGGCAGGAGAAGGGAUUAUCACCACGACAAGGGGUGACAGCUGGGAGGAUGCAACUACAGAUUGGCCUGCCUGAGAAAUGCACAGUCAAAAUUAGCUAGGCAGGGAGACGUGCACAAAAGAACAGGAUUGCAGAGGAAAUGAAGUGUGUCAGGGAUUAGAGAUAGUCCAGCAAGCAAAACAAAUGCAGAUGAAGUUUAAAAAAAAAAAAAAGACAAACACAACAGAACUUUACAGGUGUGCAUAGCUUUCAGUGCGUUUGUAUGGAAGAAAAAAAAAAUGGAAUUGUCUUUAACUGAUUUAUGGGAACUCCUCAAAGACAGAAAUAAGUAAUCGUUGUUUUCAGUAACACUUCUACAGGAUACUGCAACCUGACUCUGGUUUGAUUCUUAGAGGAACUGCUUGCCUUUCAAGUAGCUGCAAUCAACUCCCAAGACUUUAUAUAAUGCAGCAGUAAGUAGCAAUGACUACUUCCUUAUUAGCACUCCUGAGUCCCCCCAUUACCAUAGUAUCUACACUUCACAUAGCUACUAAUUCCACUUGUAUUAUUGCUAUAUAAGGAACUAUGCAGCACUUGCGUUGGGCUUUUUGCAAGUUAAUAAGUGCAAAGUAAAAUCCUCCAUCAUUUCUUGGGUAACUGCUUUGUAGAAGUUCAGUUUUUCUAAUCAUAAAUGUCAUUUCUAAGGUAAAUACACUCUUGUGUUGGAUGACAGGAAUAAAUAAUGUCUACAUUAUAGAAUUAAGUAAAAAUUAUUUUACUAAAUGAUGCUUUGGGAGAUUUUUACAUCUAAUUACCUCCUGAAAUGGUGGCUUUUCAGUAGUCUGCACUGGAUAGGCUUAUGUCUUUUUCCUCACACGGGUAAAAGAAAGAUUCUGAGAAACAUGUAAUGCCUUCCAGUAGCUGUAAGCACUUCUGAACACAGGGCCAUCAACAAAUACACAUGCACAUUAAUGCAAUCUGCCAUGCUAACUUUUUGGUAUGAGAUGUUUGGUCCUAGCAAGGUGGGCACAGCACAAUUGCCAUAAGGAUCGGAGGUCUCCAUCUUGCUUUAAUGUUUGUCUUGAAUAAUCCCUGAAAUCAUUCUGUCUGGCUUUAAAAAUCUAUUUGGUCAAGUCUUCCCAAAGCUGCAUAGAAGGUCAUUAGAUGAGGCUUUAAGUUGCUGUGUAUUUUCUAGUUGGGCAUCAGCCAUUACUCUAAAAUGAGGACACUUAUUUGCUGUGCCUAAGGUUUUCAUAGCUUCAGUUACCAUCUUCAGAAUGAAUACCUGCUGCCAAAACUAACAGGCUCCUGCAAAAAGGUUCAUCUUUAGUACAUCCAUCAAGCUUUCAAGCAGGAUCUGUUCAAAGAGCACUUUCAAAAUCUCCACAUUUUUGCAGUUCAUAGGAAAUUUGAUUCUUAUUGUGCAAAGUGAUCUUUUGCCCACUUGUGUGCACAAAUUUCUUUCUUUUGUAGCUGGAAGGUAUUUUUCAAGCUUGUCUGGAGUCCGAUAUAUGGGAAAGUCAAAGCGUAACAGAAAAUUAGAUUCAAGGGUAGAUUUAGUAGUGUCAUAAUUUUAAUCUGGUCUUAGUUCAAAGCUUGUCAUUACUUAAAAAAAAAAAUAAUAAUAAGCAUUAUUUGAUUUGAUCUUUCUGCAACCAGAAAGAGUGCAUUUUGGUCAUGAUUUUGGUAUAUAAUGACAAAAGCUUGAACAGAAUUCAUGCAGCAGCACUCCAGUUAGUAGAGGAACAAGAAGUGGCAGCCAGCAAACAUUUGUUAAUUUAUUAGGACAUUACUAAAACUGUUUUUUAGUCACCUGCAAAUAUUGGCAAUAUGGUUUUGCUACAAUUCUGAAUAUAUCAGUUUGAAUUCAGACCAUGUAGUGAACACGUAUGACUUGGUGUAGAAGUGCCUGGGUUAUAACUCAAAUGAUAUCUGCUGUUUGAACAGAAUCUGUAUCGUCUCCAAGGCCUGUGAAGCAUGACUUGUCUUUAUUAUUAUUAUCAGCCUUUAUUGCUGGACAUUUUCCCCUGACACGUUUAUAUAAAUGCAAAUACAAAAAUGUGAAGUGUUUAACCUUCUAUUCAAUGCCCGUGAUUCACUUAGCGCAUGCAGAAAUCCUGAGAGUUGUCCAUUAUGUCCUCAACUCUUCCAAAUUUCCCUUCCUGUCCUUCACACCUAAGCCAUCUGUUUGUCAUUUCUUGGCACCCUCCAUGCCUCUUUCACAAACAAACCAUCUGCUCAGUGCCUUUAAACUUCUAUUUACCAUACAUACUCUUUUAUCUAUUUUACAAUUCUUUGCAUAUGUCAAAAUUUUAAUUACAUAGUCACAUAUUAGGAUGGCGUCAGCUUAAGGGCUUUUUCUAACAAGUGUCUGUGAUGGGCUAGAAGGCAUUUGAAAUGUGUUGUAUCACUCGCUGAUAUAUGGUAUUUAUGAAAAGUGCAACAAAUUUUGAAGUGAAGAAGCAGAUGAUGCAUGAAGUCAGUAAUUGUUCCAAGACACCCCCCAAGUGAUUGAUGUCUACAUAAUUCUGUAAAUCUACUGCUUUAUUAAAAUACAAUAACAAUAUUAAUUUAUAUGAAAAUUCAGUUUGGCUAACAACUAAUGCAUUUAAAUUUCACAUAAUCUAUUGCAGUCUGAACUCCUGUUAGGUUGGAAAGAAGGAGAAGCUUCUUACUAGAAAUUUACUAUAUACCUCAGGUCUUACAAAAUGUAAGAAGAUAUGAGAGAUAUUUAUAAACGCUACAAAUAUGAUUAAGAUAUUUUGAAGAAAGAGAGUAAAACUGAUUUUCCUAAAUGCAAAACAGCUAAGAAAAUUAAAAAGUAACAGUCACGGUACAAGCACUGUACAUACAUAAUGCUUACAGACACACACAGUGUUUGUUCAUUACAUUCAGAUGGGGUUUCAUUCACCCAGAGGAAACGCUUUUCAUCCAAACACCUGCAGAAUGUUACCUACUCUUUCACGGUGAGUUUGCUUUGUUAUACCAUUGGUGCAUAGUCUGUGUGAUGGUCAGGAUAAGAUGAAGUUUUAGAAGAGAAAGAAGUGGCAGAUCUCUUGCCACAUGAUCUGCAGUAUAGAAGAAAGGAGCGUUAGAGGAGUGAGAUUCCCUUUUGCUGGACUUCAAGGGCUUUGCCUGCAUCUGUCCUGUCUUCUCCUAAGUCAUGAGGGUUGUGAAAGGGAAGCACAUACAGCAGUGCAAAGUACAUUGGUAGGGAAGUGUUUGGAAAAACAACAAUCUUAAGAUAGAUGAACAGGAUCAGCACUAGUAGAGCAUGGGCUCCCAUUGACGCAUGUGUGAGAUGAGUCUGGUUGCACCAGGGCUGAUCCCAGUUGAAGGGUGAAUUAAGAGUCACCCUGGCUCGCUUGCAAUGACUGCAGUUGGCUUUUUAUAUGACCAAGAUAUGUCACAGAGACCUUUGUUUUCCUAUCUGCUUGCAGGGAGGACUGAGAGCUACACAGAAGUCCUGCAGAGUAGAUCCUAAUCAAAAUAACAUUGAUUAAGUACAGAAACACUUCCCUGUAUCUAAAUUUAAAAAAAAAAAUAAAAAAAAUAAAAAAAAUUGAAAUG